GACGAACGCUGGCGGCGUGCUUAACACAUGCAAGUCGAACGGGAACCUUUAUUUCGGUAAAGGUGAGAGUGGCAAACGGGUGAGUAACACGUAGGCAACCUGCCGACAGGAUGGGGACAACAUUCCGAAAGGAAUGCUAAUACCGAAUGAAGUCGAGGGAAGGCAUCUUCCCUCGAUGAAAGAUGGCCUCUGAAUAUGCUAUCACCUGUCGAUGGGCCUGCGUCUGAUUAGCCAGUUGGCGGGGUAACGGCCCACCAAAGCGACGAUCAGUAGCCGGUCUGAGAGGAUGAACGGCCACAUUGGGACUGAGACACGGCCCAGACUCCUACGGGAGGCAGCAGUGGGGAAUCUUCCACAAUGGGCGAAAGCCUGAUGGAGCAACGCCGCGUGAGUGAAGAAGGUCUUCGGAUCGUAAAGCUCUGUUGUACGGGACGAAAACCG
rnacentral:rRNA from 1 species